UCAACCUGAGCUCAGGCAAGAAC
rnacentral:rRNA from 1 species